CGAGAGGACCGGGAUGGACUGGCCGCUGGUGUAUCUGUUAGGAAUCAAUCCUAUGGCAGAGUAGCCAAGCCGGGAGGGGAUAAACGCUGAAGGCAUCUAAGCGUGAAGCCCCCCUCAAGAUGAGAUAUCCCAUUCGUAAGAAGUAAGACCCCUUAAAGAGUAUGAGGUUGAUAGGGCAGAGGUGGAAGUGCAGUAAUGCAUGCAGCUGACUGUCACUAAUAGGUCGAGGGCUUAUCCA
rnacentral:rRNA from 1 species